GGGAGGGAUGGGGAGGAGGUGUGUAUGGUUUUUAUCUUUAGGAAUAUUAUGAUGUAAGGUUAAUUUAGGAAUGUAAAAUAUUAAAAUGUCAUUUUUUUGUCCAUGUUAUAAUGUUUAAUAGUAUAUUUUUGUCUUUUCAAAAGUUCACCCCCCUAUUCAUACUUUUUAUGACAAGUAUCAAUAGUUAAUAACUAUUUUCCUUUUUCAUCAUUUUUAUUUUAUUUUUUCUUUUACCACCUUGCUGAUAUUUUAUCAAAAAUUUCAGAAAAUUGCAAAG
rnacentral:misc_RNA from 1 species